UACGUAGGGGGCAAGCGUUGUCCGGAAUCAUUGGGCGUAAAGAGCGUGUAGGCGGCUCGAUAAGUCUGCUGUGAAAGUCCAGGGCUCAACCCUGGAAGGCCGGUGGAAGCUGUCGGGCUAGAGUCCGGAAGAGGCGAGUGGAAUUCCCGGUGUAGCGGUGAAAUGCGCAGAUAUCGGGAGGAACACCAAUGGCGAAGGCAGCUCGCUGGGACGGUACUGACGCUGAGACGCGAAAGCGUGGGGAGCAAACAGG
rnacentral:rRNA from 1 species